rnacentral:rRNA from 1 species
AACGAACGCUGGCGGCAUGCCUAACACAUGCAAGUCGAACGAGACCUUCGGGUCUAGUGGCGCACGGGUGCGUAACGCGUGGGAACCUGCCCUUAGGUUCGGAAUAACUCCCCGAAAGGGGUGCUAAUACCGGAUAAUGUCUUCGGACCAAAGAUUUAUCGCCUUUGGAUGGGCCCGCGUUGGAUUAGCUAGUUGGUAGGGUAAAAGCCUACCAAGGCGACGAUCCAUAGCUGGUCUGAGAGGAUGAUCAGCCACGCUGGGACUGAGACACGGCCCAGACUCCUACGGGAGGCAGCAGUGGGGAAUACUGGACAAUGGGCGAAAGCCUGAUCCAGCAAUGCCGCGUGAGUGAUGAAGGCCUUAGGGUUGUAAAGCUCUUUUACCCGGGAUGAUAAUGACAGUACCGGGAGAAUAAGCUCCGGCUAACUCCGUG